rnacentral:rRNA from 1 species
CCUACGGGGUGCAGCAGUAGGGAAUAUUGCUCAAUGGGGGAAACCCUGAAGCAGCAACGCCGCGUGGAGGAUGAAGGUUUUCGGAUUGUAAACUCCUUUUGUUAGAGAAGAUAAUGACGGUAUCUAACGAAUAAGCACCGGCUAACUCCGUGCCAGCAGCCGCGGUAAUACGGAGGGUGCAAGCGUUACUCGGAAUCACUGGGCGUAAAGAGCGCGUAGGCGGGAUAGCAAGUCAGAUGUGAAAUCCUAUGGCUUAACCAUAGUACUGCAUUUGAAACUGUUAUUCUAGAGUAUGGGAGAGGUAUGUGGAAUUCUUGGUGUAGGGGUAAAAUCCGUAGAGAUCAAGAGGAAUACUCAUUGCGAAGGCGACCUGCUGGAACAUAACUGACGCUGAGGCGCGAAAGCGUGGGGAGCAAACAGGAUUAGAUACCCGUGUAGUC